UUUAAUGAGAGUUUGAUCCUGGCUCAGGACGAACGCUGGCGGCGUGCCUAAUACAUGCAAGUAGAACGCUGAUGUUUGGUGUUUACACUAGACUGAUGAGUUGCGAACGGGUGAGUAACGCGUAGGUAACCUGCCUCAUAGCGGGGGAUAACUAUUGGAAACGAUAGCUAAUACCGCAUAAGAGUAAUUAACACAUGUUAGUUAUUUAAAAGGAGCAAUU
rnacentral:rRNA from 2 species